UACAGAGGGGGCAAGCGUUAUUCGGAAUUAUUGGGCGUAAAGGGCGCGUAGGCGGCCAGGCAAGUGGAAGGUGAAAUCCCUCGGCUUAACCGAGGAACUGCCCUCCAAACUGCUUGGCUUGAGACCGGGAGAGGUGAGUGGAAUUCCCAGUGUAGCGGUGAAAUGCGUAGAUAUUGGGGAGGAACACCAGUGGCGAAGGCGGCUCACUGGACCGGUACUGACGCUGAUGCGCGAAAGCGUGGGGAGCAAACGGG
rnacentral:rRNA from 1 species